CAAAAAAAACUUUGGUACACUCGACCGGUUUACUCUGUUGGUUUGUGUUUUUGGUUUUGUUGGGACUAACGUAUUAACGUUUAUCUUUGAGUUAAAUUUUGUUUUCAGGUUUCAUCAUGAGUAACUACAGUGGAGAAUCUUCAAUGGAUCCUGACUAUAAUGUAGAAGAAGCUGAGUCCUGGUCCACUAGACAGGAGAGAGAGCAACAUGUUUACGAGAGCUUCAGGGAUGAAUUUGAACGCUCUGCAGCUCGACGUAAUCAGAGAAGAGCUGAAAUCGCCAGAGGAAAGAGGGCGAUGUCGAGUAGAUAUGCGCUGAAUGAUUAGGACAUUGAAACUGAGUAUGAGCCAGAGUCAUGGCGUAAGGAGACGAUUUGCUGAACAAACCCGACGAGGUUACAGUGGAGGAGUAUAUAAGAUUCUUUGAGAUGAAUGACUUCUGGGGAACGAGGUAUCCGUGCUAUGAGACUUUAGCCCAGCUGGGGUUACUGGAGGACGUGCAGCAUCUGUUCGAGAAGUGUCAUCUGGAUACACUCAUGUCUUACCCUUACGCUGCUUAUAAGGAGGAGACAAUCGAGUUUCUUUCCACGCUGCAAGUGGAGAUGUAUGAGGGACUCACAGACUUUGAGCUGGAUACCAUGAGUUUAGGCUUCUUGACGUUCUCAAUAGAUGAACAACGGUAUCAGCUUUCGAUCAAGAACUUGGAAGAACUGUUUGGUUUCCCUAGUGGAAAGGGAACCAAACCCAGAUUUGACAGAGAGGAGCUUAAGGAUUUGUGGGCCACUAUUGGGAACAAUCUACCGCUAAACUCGGUGCGCUCGGUUGCCAACGUUUUUUACUCUAGGGAGUCUACAGGUACCGUGUCUAACACCGACAUGGAAAUGAUAGAUUCCGCGCUUACAGGGAUUCUCCACCGUACAAAGGGAAAGAAUGUCUUGAGAGGCGAUCUCAACAACGCACCACCAGUAAUGCCUCUGUUGAUCCACCUGUGUGGAUACAGGAAGUGGGCGUUGACGAACGGCAAGAGGAAUGUGAGAGGAGCACUAUGCGUGGGUGGCGUUGUGACGCCAAUUCUGGAAGCUUGUGGAGUAUCACUCAAGGAACCAGGGUUAGCACCGAGGAUGAUGGACUUGGAUUAUUUGCGCCGAUGUGAAUUCUUGGAGUUUGACAUGGCUGGCGACUUUCACCGCUACAGGUUCAAGCAUUCAUCGAUUAGAAUCGCCAACAUUCUUCUCCCAUGCAUUGACGCUACUAGGAUUCUCGAGGGAAGGAACAUUGACUUCAAGCCUGCGCUUGAAGAUCUUUAUUUCGAGGGCAGUCCUCCAACUGAGGAGGUUAGUCACACCGAAGAAGCUACAACAGAAGAUGUUGAUGAGACAGAUGAUAUAGAUGAGGCGGAGUUUGACACGAGCAUGUAUCAUUUCAGCGAGCAUAUACCUCCAUCCAGGGAAAGCAAGAGUUUGAGCUAAGCUCAUAGGAACAACAACAAGCUGCAGAAGUGGUGCAAGAAACAUGAUAAGUUACUCUCCAAGUGCCUCAGGCUAUCAAGUUUCCGAAGGACAAGAUCAGCUGCUCCUCUUCCACUAAAACUAUUCUGCAGGGACAACUCCCUCAAGACAUGCCUUCAAGAAGAUAUGACGCGCCUUAGACAAGUCGGCGCAGGCUUGAGCCUAGAGAGCAGGAGAUUCCGCAUGUCCCUCCGAGGCAUUCAUCAUUCGAGCCUCGUGAGUCUGGGAGGAAGAGAAGGACCACACUCACUCGAUCUAGCAGCAGGAGCUGACGACUUCUACAGUCUCGUAGUUUAUGCGACCGCGGUGCUGGCCGCAGCAGAAGAAGAGAGGUCGAUUAUCCUUAGAGCGGUGCUGGCCGCCACAAAGCUGAUGAGGUCGAGUACCCACCUGUGGAGCUGAUACGGAACAGGGCGGUUCGUCCAUGGCCUGGGAGCAAUCACAGGCAGCCAUUGACGACCAACUUUGUUCAUUGUUCGACUGAAGUAAGCGCCUCACUUCACCAUUGUAUUAUAUCAUCUGUUGUGAUUUGUUCUUCAUUUUGUUUCUUUGAUUGGAUUUGUCCUGAGUACUCUCUUCCAAGUUUAUUCACACAGUGGACUGUGUGAUUUAAGUUUGGGGGAGGGCUCAGGAAGUGUGUGUUGCAUUGUGAAUAUUUUUGAGUCUGCAUUCAUCUAAGGCAUAGAAAAACCAAAAAAAAUUGAAAA
rnacentral:sRNA from 1 species